rnacentral:rRNA from 1 species
AUUGAACGCUGGCGGCAGGCCUAACACAUGCAAGUCGAACGGUAACAGGAAGCAGCUUGCUGCUUUGCUGACGAGUGGCGGACGGGUGAGUAAUGUCUGGGAAACUGCCCGAUGGAGGGGGAUAACUACUGGAAACGGUAGCUAAUACCGCAUAACGUCGCAAGACCAAAGAGGGGGACCUUAGGGCCUCUUGCCAUCGGAUGUGCCCAGAUGGGAUUAGCUAGUAGGUGGGGUAACGGCUCACCUAGGCGACGAUCCCUAGCUGGUCUGAGAGGAUGACCGGCCACACUGGAACUGAGACACGGUCCAGACUCCUACGGGAGGCAGCAGUGGGGAAUAUUGCACAAUGGGCGCAAGCCUGAUGCAGCCAUGCCGCGUGUAUGAAGAAGGCCUUCGGGUUGUAAAGUACUUUCAGCGGGGAGGAAGGGAGUAAAGUUAAUACCUUUGCUCAUUGACGUUACCCGCAGAAGAAGCACCGGCUAACUCCGU